rnacentral:lncRNA from 1 species
AAAUGAACUAAGUGAUGCCCUUUAUACUAACGCGCAUAUCCAUUUCACAAUGCCAUGGACCAAUGUUCUCAUCUCAGUUGUGACUUAACUCUCUCUCCCCAACGAGCGAGGGGCUGAAUGAUCACCUUAGUCUUCACCGGAAGAAUUCUCCUGGGAUGACUUCAAGGAGUGUACCAGUAAGAUAAGACAGAAAAUGAAGAAAGGAGAUAAGAGAAAAAAAAAGAUGUCUGACUAAAUGAGGGUGCCAGUGCUCCUUGGAGUCAGAAAACGCUGAUUCCGGCUCUGGGAAGAAAGUGAUCCUGGACCAGCCUCUUGCUCCAGAAGGUGAGAAAGCCUCCUGUUCUUCCGGUCACGACAGAAGGAAUCAGAAGCCGACUAAAAAGUUUUUCCAGGGGCCACAUAGAGACAAUUUUAGCGUCAAACAAAUGAUAACUACAAUUGACGGCAACACGUUGGACCCAUUAGGUCAGACUGAUGCUGGGAAUAAAGGCAGAACAGAAACAUAAAGUUUUUUUUAAAAAAAUUUCACCCUUUUUAAAGAAUAAAUUAUUCUGAAAACUAGUGAAGGUAGCGCAUAAAACAAGCAUUUAUCUCAUUUUAUUUGUGGAAACUGUGCUUUGGGGGAACAAAUGAGUGUUGAAGGAAUGGUCUUUAUAGAUGAAAUCUGGGCAAUACAAGAGGAAAUCGGAACUAUUAGGUUGGUGGAAAAACCGUGAUUACUUUUGCACCAACCUGAUACAAUAUCCCAGUUGGGCAAUCUCGAAUGACGCAAGAUGAGCGUCAUCAUCAUCAUUGCUGCCAACCCAUCUGGUGAGGAGCUGGGAGAGAGCGUGGAAACACUGAGCCGGCGGCUCCAUCGUUACAACGCCGCAGGCAAACAAGGGGAAUUCUGGGAGAGAGCGUGGAAACACUGAGCCGGCGGCUCCAUCGUUACAACGCCGCAGGCAAACAAGGGGAAUUCUGGGAGAGAGCGUGGAAACACUGAGCCGCGGCUCCAUGGUUACAACGCCGCAGGCAAACAAGGGGAAUUCUGGGAGAGAGCGUGGAAACACUGAGCCGGCGGCUCCAUCGUUACAACGCCGCAGGCAAACAAGGGGAAUUCUGGGAGAGAGCGUGGAAACACUGAGCCGGCGGCUCCAUCGUUACAACGCCACAGGCAAACAAGGGGAAUUCUGGGAGAGAGCGUGGAAACACUGAGCCGGCGGCUCCAUGGUUACAACGCCGCAGGCAAACAAGGGGAAUUCUGUGGCUCCAGUGUGACACGGUGAGGGGCGCACAUCGCCGUGAACUCCUUUUUCCCCCACAAAAAUCCGAAUCAAAUUAAGCCUCUACAUUAGCGCUGUUCAACAGAAAUAUCACGUGAGCUAUCUUACAGUAUUUAAGACAGGAAUCUUAAAUUUUCUAGUAACCACGUUAAAAAGGUAAAAAGAAAUUGUUGAAAUUAAUCGUAUGUUUUAUUUAUCCCAAUGUACCAAAAAUAUAAUUUCAUAAUGUUAUCGAUGUAAAAAGUAUUGAUGUGAUAUUUUACAUUUUUUCAUACAUCUUUGAAAUCUUGUGUAAAUUUUGCAUUAGCAGUACAUCUUCCAUUGCUGAUUUCUCAUUGGAAAUAGUCUGUAUUUAGAGUUUGUAAAAUUUCCAGCUGAAAAACUAGAUUUGUGAGCCGCAGUUGCUCCAGUCGUACUUGAAAAUCUUCCAACAACCAAAUAGAGUGUGUUUUAAAAUUUACAUUAAUUUCAAUUAACUAAUAUUAAAAGUUUUACAGAAGCCACAUUUCAAGUGUUGAACAGCCACACGUACUAGUGGCAAGUGUGUUAAACAGCACAUAUGUAAAUCUCGUCACCAGUCCACAGGAACGCACAUGGUACCAAGAAGGGAAAGAAGAUACCACGUAUGUGCAGUCACUCAAUUCAGAGUGUGGAAAAUGCUACAGGGUAAGGAAUCUGGUUAAUUGCAAUUAAAAAAAG